AACUGUUUCUUGCUUGUGGUACAGUGCUGAUACAAAUCUAGAGUUAUUCUUGUAAUGGUAUAUGCAUGUAUUUCUGUUCUUGUUUAAAAUACUGUAGCUUUACAGUAUAUUCUAAACCACUGAGGGAAAUCCCAAGAAAGACUUUGUCUAAGUGGCUGCCAGCCCAGGCGGGACUGGAGAUAACUCCCGCUACAUGCCUGCCACCAGGACCUGGCCUAGACUGUGGACAAUAAGCAGGAUACUGGAAUUGAUUGCACCCCCUUGCCUUGAUAAAGUGAGAUCAGUCUACUGCAUCCCUAUUCCACAGGAAAAAAUCUGCCUUAUGGGCCGGAUGGUGGAAGAAGAUGAUGCUAUUCCAAUAUUCGUGCCUCCAACACUGUGGAGACUUGGAAUGAAGUUUAUUUUUGAAGUUGCAGAGCAGGAGGCCCUAAUAGUGGAGGAGACAUAGCAGCAGGCAGCAUGAGCAGGAAGCUGAGAGAUCACAUCUUCAUCUGAAAACACAACGCAGAGAAAGCAAACUAAAAGAACAGGCCUUCAAGAGAUGACAGCCAAACAGGACAAAACAAUAUACAAUAAAACAAGACAAAGCCCUUACAUCAAAGAUGAUCAAGGCAACUCAAUAGGAGGAAAGGAGUUCCAUGACAGGCAAAAGUGUCAACGAUACUGGAUAAGAAAAAGUGCUGCCCAGAUAUAAAUGUUCAGAUCCAGGUUCACUUCAACACUGCAAUGUCUACCUACAACCAAGAGAAACAGGUCAUUGUAGAAUUCAAUUAAAAUCCACAUGAUUAAAAUUUGUCUUUCUCUCUUUAGAAGCACUCUGAGAAAGACCUCACACUAUGUUCUAAGCACUUCAAUAGCCAUCAAAGUGUCUGAAAAGAGAUUAUGUGUUCAUUUCUGUAAAGUUGAGGUUUGGGGUACAAAAGAAAAAUGAAGAGGACCCAGUAAAUGGAUGCUCUUUGAGCUCAUCAAGAGAUUAUAGUGGACAUAUCCACUGUUCUGGCCUCUUCUGAUUCAUUGUUGUGAAGCUAUCAUUAUAGAUUUGGCUAAAUUACAUUAAAAAUUUAAGUACCAGACACAGAGGGUCACAGAAGUUGAAAUCAGGACAUUUACUGAUAAAGAGUUGGACCCUGUAACUUGAAGAGGGGAUGUAUAGACCACAUUGAAGAUGAGAAUUCUGAAACCUCAGAUUCUCCAAUGUUUUUGU